GUGGGGAAUAUUGGACAAUGGGCGAAAGCCUGAUCCAGCCAUGCCGCGUGUGUGAAGAAGGUCUUCGGAUUGUAAAGCACUUUAAGUUGGGAGGAAGGGCAGUAAGUUAAUACCUUGCUGUUUUGACGUUACCAACAGAAUAAGCACCGGCUAACUUCGUGCCAGCAGCCGCGGUAAUACGAAGGGUGCAAGCGUUAAUCGGAAUUACUGGGCGUAAAGCGCGCAUAGGUGGUUCAGCAAGUUGAAGGUGAAAUCCCCGGGCUCAACCUGGGAACUGCCUCCCAAACUACUGAGCUAGAGUACGGUAGAGGGUAGUGGAAUUUCCUGUGUAGCGGUGAAAUGCGUAGAUAUAGGAAGGAACACCAGUGGCGAAGGCGACUACCUGGACUGAUACUGACACUGAGGUGCGAAAGCGUGGGGAGCAAACAGGAUUAGAAACCCUUGUAGUCC
rnacentral:rRNA from 1 species